UCCUGGCUCAGGAUGAACGCUGGCGGCGUGCUUAACACAUGCAAGUCGAACGAGCAACUCGGUGCGAGUGGCGGACGGGUGAGUAACGCGUGGGUAACCUACCUUAUACAGGGGGAUAACAGCGGGAAACUGCUGUUAAUACCGCAUAAGCGCACGGAAUCGCAUGAUUCAGUGUGAAAAGCUCCGACGGUAUAAGAUGGACCCGCGUCUGAUUAGCUAGUUGGUGAGGUAACGGCCCACCAAGGCGACGAUCAGUAGCCGACUUGAGAGAGUGACCGGCCACAUUGGGACUGAGACACGGCCCAAACUCCUACGGGAGGCAGCAGUGGGGAAUAUUGCACAAUGGGCGAAAGCCUGAUGCAGCCGACGCCGCGUGAGUGAUGAAGUAUUUCGGUAUGUAAAGCUCUAUCAGCAGGGAAGAAAAUGACGGUACCUGACUAAGAAGCCCCGGCUAAAUACGUGCCAGCAGCCGC
rnacentral:rRNA from 1 species